rnacentral:rRNA from 1 species
GUGGGGAAUAUUGGACAAUGGGGGGAACCCUGAUCCAGCCAUGCCGCGUGUGUGAAGAAGGCCUUUUGGCUGUAAAGCACUUUAAGUGGGGAGGAGGCUUACCUGGUUAAUACCUGGGCUAAGUGGACGUUACCCACAGAAUAAGCACCGGCUAACUCUGUGCCAGCAGCCGCGGUAAUACAGAGGGUGCGAGCGUUAAUCUGAUUUACUGGGCGUAAAGCGCGCGUAGGUGGUUAAUUAAGUCAAAUGUGAAAUCCCCGAGCUUAACUUGGUAAUUGCAUUCGAUACUGGUUGGCUAGAGUAUGGGAGAGGAUGGUAGAAUUCCAGGUGUAGCGGUGAAAUGCGUAGAGAUCUGGAGGAAUACCGAUGGCGAAGGCAGCCAUCUGGCCUAAUACUGACACUGAGGUGCGAAAGCAUGGGGAGCAAACAGGAUUAGAUACCCGAGUAGUCC